CGGGGUGAGUAAUGUCUGGGAAACUGCCUGAUGGAGAGGGAUAACUACUGGAAACGGUAGCUAAUACCGCAUAACGUCGCAAGACCAAAGAGGGGGACCUUAGGGCCUCUUGCCAUCGGAUGUGCCCAGAUGGGAUUAGCUAGUAGGUGGGGUAACGGCUCACCUAGGCGACGAUCCCUAGCUGGUCUGAGAGGAUGACCAGCCACACUGGAACUGAGACACGGUCCAG
rnacentral:rRNA from 1 species